rnacentral:lncRNA from 1 species
ACCGGAAACGGAGGAGAGCGCGGGGGAUGUGUUUGGCAUGGGGACGCACUGUUACAGUUGCGCUCCUGGUUGGCUUUGUGUUUCCGCGGUGUUGGUAGAGUCUCGGUGUUUCUACCUCUUAGCACCCUUUCCUGCCACCCUUUGUCCUGUGGAAGCCCGGAGACAUCAGCGGCUGCAAUUUUGCUACUCGCUGCUCGGCAUGGAACGGUCAGAAAUGAGCCCGUGAGUCCUGAGUUGGUGGCAGCUGCAUCUGCUGCUCUGUUUUGACAAGCAAACAAGCCAGAACUGCUCAGGCAGCUCCGUAGCAUGAGGAAGAGUCAGGGGCACAGAGAGAUGGAGAGAGACCUAGUUAGGAAAAACAUAUUCAAGGGGAAGAGAUGUAAUAGUUUUGACGUGACGACAGUUACUAAAGAAGCACCUGAACAGACACAUCACCUUCACUUUGGGAUGUGGAAUUUGCUAAAUAAGCCACAGAAAAUGAACAUCCCUUCAGAAUGGGUUUGAAGAGCUGAUCCAGUGGAUUAAAGAGGGGAAACUGGGAGUUUCCAAUUAACAAUGAAGCAGGAGCUGACUAAGGCUUUGGAACAGAAACCAGAUGAUGCACAAUAUUAUUGUCAAAGAGCUUAUUGUCACAUUCUUCUUGGGAGUUACUAUGGAUCUGUAAAUAACUGACGAAAAACCCAUCUGUUUCUACGUAGUUGCUGUUGCCGACACAAAGAAGUCUUAUGAACUCAAUCCAAAUAAUUCCACUGCUAUGCUGAGAAAAGGGGGCUGGCGGCAUGGAGUCUUGCUCUGUCACCCAUCCUCGAGUGCAAUGGCACCAUCUUAGUUCACUGCAGCCUUGAAUUCCAGGGCUCGAGCCAUCCUUCUGCCUCUGCCUCCUGAGUAGGUGGGACUACAGGCAUGUGCCACCAUACUGAGCUAAUUUGUUAAACACUUUUUUUGUAGAGACGAGGUCUUGCUACGUUUCCCAGACUGGUCUCUGAACUCCCGGCCUCAAGUGAUCCUACUGCCUUGGCCUCCCAAAGUACUGGCAUAAUAGACAUGAGCCACUGCACCUGGCUCCUAAGUUCUUUUCUUGAAUAAUAUCUUUCUUUUUUUUUAUUUUUUGAGGUGGAGUCUCACCCUGUUGCCCAGGCUGGAGUGCAAUGGCGUGAUCUCGGCUCACUGCAACUUCUACCUCCCGGGUUCAAGUGAUUCUCCUGCCUCAGCCUCCUGAAUAGCUAGGAUUACAGGCGUGCGCUACCACGCCUGGCUAAUUUUUUGUGUCUUUAGUAGAGAUGCGGUUUCACCAUGUUGGCCAGGCUUGUCUCGAACUCUUGACCUCGUGAUCCACCCGCCUUGGCCUCCCAAAGUGUUGGGAUUACAGGCGUGAGCCACCACGCCUGGCCAAGUAAUAUCUUAAUAUCAUGCCAUUGACAUUUAUCCUCUAAUUAUUUCAGAGGUGGCCUUCAGAAGAAGGCCUCUUUGGUAAAAUUGCUAUUGAGGAUAUUUCACUGAAAAACAAAUUUAUCUUUAAAUUUAAAUCCAGGAAAAAUUUAAACUUUCAGGCUUCUAUUUUUAUCAGACAGGGUAAAAAAUUUAUAACUCAGAAUAUUACCCUUUCCCCUCUUUGUGUGAUGGAUUGCUUGGUUUUAGUUACUGAUUAUUUAAAAUAAUAAGUUAUUCAAAUCUAGGAUUUUGAUACAAUAGUUCUUCUCUAGAAUAUAGUGUGUGUGUGAGAGUAUAUUUAAAAUUUUUAUUAAGGCCCAUGGGGCAGCCUUUGAGGAAACCAGACCUUGGGGAUCGCCAGGCAGGAUUAGUGGCAGGAAUUGAGAGAACAGAGCCCCACAGAGCUCCUCGGGGACCGUCCCCCAGUCACAAGAGUAUCUCAAGGAAGUAGUCUUCUCCCACAUCCCCCAAAGAUAACUACCAGAGGGUCAGUUCUCUGAGCCCUUCUCAGUGUAGAAAAGACAAGUGUCAAAGCUUCCCCACUCACCCUGAGUUUGCCUUCUAUGACAAUACGUCGUUUGGCCUCACUGAGGCUGAGCAGAGGAUGCUGGACCUCCCAGGAUAUUUUGGGUCAAAUGAAGAGGAUGAAACCACAAGUACACUUAGCGUGGAGAAGCUGGUGAUCUAGACUGAGAAUCAGCCUGAGCUUAACACAGCUGGGGUCUGCUACUCGCGUUUUGUAGACUUUUGUGUAACUAUUUGUACCGUAGGACAGAAUGUGAGGAGGAAGUAACACACACAGAGGAGGAUGUGUGUGUGUGCAUGUGUUUGAAUUCACAAGGAAGAAAUUAUUUAUCUUGAGCUUUUUCCUUUGUUAUUCAGUUUUUAUUGGUUUAUUACUAAUAAUGAUAAUAAAAUGUAAACAAGAGCAAA